UUAGUUUUUGGGUUUGAUAUUUUGAUUUAUGUGUUUUGUUCAUCUCUAGUGGAUCUAGCUUGUAGUAUAGUUCAAUGUAGUAACCUAAGUAGGAAUUCAUUUUUCUGUAUAACCAUUCUUCAUAGUUGUGAAACUUUAGAUGCAACAAAUUAGAGUCUAAGGAAAUUUCAAGGAUGAAAUUUUCAUAAGGGAGGUAGAAUGUCAUUACUUGUCCUUAGCCCAAUACUGUUGCAAUUGCAGCCCAACAUUGUAGUUCCUAUGUGGUACCAUAGCAACCUAAGUUCAACCUUCUCUCUUUCAAUUCCUCCUUCAUCCUUGGACUGCAAACCCUAGCUUCUUAUCUGUUCAUUUUCUUCCCUUUAAUGGCUAAAGAUUUAGAGAAGUUUGGAAAAGGAGAAGAAGCAAGGUAUCUGCAACCCCACAUCUUAAGCGAUAGAAGCUAGAGGAGUCUAUCAACACGGUCAAGAGAAAUCUAGCUUUCAUUAAUCCUAGAAGAGUGAGCGGAGUAGCUAUGAUGAUCAAAUUCACACCGGCUAUCCUCUUGAGUGUUUGGUUAGAAAAAAACAUAAGCAUAUCUUUGAUGUUUAUUUUUUACUGACCUCUUUCUGUGAUUAAUAAAGCGACUUAUCUAUUUUUCUUUUGGGUAUCUGCAACCCCACAUCUUAAGCUAUAGAAGCUAAAGGAGUCUAUAAACACAGUUAAUAGAAAUCUGACUUUCAUUGAUCCUAGAAGAGUGAGCCGAGUAGCUAUGAUGAUCAAAUUCACACCGGCUAGUUUGCUUUGUUUUUGCUCUUCUAAGCUCACUUAGAGACCCUUUCUCUAUGUUGAGUAUGUUUUUUGUUUUUGUGAGAAUACUUUGUUAGCCCCAUUUUUAA